CGAGGCGAACCGGGGAAACUGAAACAUCUCAGUACCCCGAGAAAAAGAAAUCAACCGAGAUUCCCCCAGUAGCGGCGAGCAAACGGGGAGCAACCCAGAGUCAACAUCAAUAUUUACCACAGGAGAAGGGUCUGGAAAAGCCGGCAAUAAAGGGUGAUAGCCCCGUAUCUAAAGCGGUAAGUGUUGUGAACUCGAAGAGUAGGGCGGGACACGUGUUAUCCUGUCUGAAUAUGGGGGGACCAUCCUCCAAGGCUAAAUACUCCUGACUGACCGAUAGUGAACCAGUACCGUGAGGGAAAGGCGAAAAGAACCCCGGCGAGGGGAGUGAAAUAGAACCUAAAACCGUGUACGUACAAGCAGUAGGAGCACCCGAAAGGGUGUGACUGCGUACCUUUUGUAUAAUGGGUCAGCGACUUAUAUUCUGUAGCAAGGUUAACCGCAUAGGGGAGCCGUAGGGAAACCGAGUCUUAACUGGGCGUUAAGUUGCAGGGUAUAGACCCGAAACCCGGUGAUCUAGCCAUAAGCAAGUUGAAG
rnacentral:rRNA from 1 species